rnacentral:rRNA from 1 species
GAUCUGGCUCAGGACGAACGCUGGCGGCGCGCCUAACACAUGCAAGUCGAACGAGAGAGAAGGAGCUUGCUUCUUCGAUCGAGUGGCGAACGGGUGAGUAACGCGUGAGGAACCUGCCUCAAAGAGGGGGACAACAGUUGGAAACGACUGCUAAUACCGCAUAAGCCCACGGGUCGGCAUCGACCUGAGGGAAAAGGAGCAAUCCGCUUUGAGAUGGCCUCGCGUCCGAUUAGCUAGUUGGUG